GUUGCUCGGAAUUAUUGGGCGUAAAGCGCACGUAGGCGGCUUAGCAAGUCCCAUGUGAAAGCCCACGGCUCAACCGUGGAAGUGCAUGGGAAACUGCUGAGCUUGAGUACUUAAGAGGAUCGCGGAAUUCCCGGUGUAGAGGUGAAAUUCGUAGAUAUCGGGAGGAACACCAGUGGCGAAGGCGGCGAUCUGGGAAGAUACUGACGCUGAGGUGCGAAAGCGUGGGGAGCAAACAGG
rnacentral:rRNA from 1 species